UGUUUAAUUUGUCUUUCUUAAUUUCACUGAGCUUGUGCGGUUUAAAGAACAAUAACUGGUAAUUAUGGGUAGAGAAUAAGAUUUCUCCCUUCUAUAAUUCUACAAAGGGUGCUCUCUGAAAUAUGAAUAUUUUUGUUACUAGUGUCAUGGUCUUCUACUCUUCCCACUUGUCAAUGGGUCAGUACCUUUUUUCUCUCUUUUUUCUGAAACUUGGUUGGUUAGAUUAUCAAGUUCUUAUAGA
rnacentral:lncRNA from 1 species